UAAAGCAUGAAAGAGAAACACCAUGCGAAUCUUCCUUGCAAGCGGCUAUGGCGGAAUUAUUCUUCCUGCUUCCACUGAUCCAAGUUACGAAUAAAAACUGUGACACGCGUUGGUCGAAUAUAUUUGCAAAUUUUCACCAAGCCAACCGCUCUCUCUCUCCUAUAUGUAAAUAAAUAUCUACAAAAGCAUCCCACAAGCAGCACGGAGCAGAAGCGCGGCGCUCUGUUCGUCUGCUGUGUCCACCCAAUUCCCUGCUCAUGGCGGCGGUGCUGGACGCGUUUGCGUCCAAGCUGGCGGACAUCCUGGUUGGCAUGGCGAAGGAGAAGGUGGAGUUGCUUCUCGGUGUCCCGGGCGAGAUCACCAAGCUCGAGACGACGCUCGGUGACCUGAGCAGGAUCCUGGCUGACGCUGAGAGGAGGCGCAUCCGCGACUCUGCUACGGAUGGAUGGGUCAGGGAGCUCAAGGAUGUCAUGUACGACGCCGACGACAUCCUUGAUCUCUGCCAGAUCAUGGAGGGUGGAGAAGAAGAAGAUCCCUCAUCAUCAGUUUCUGCUCCGAAAACGAAAAGCACUUCAGGGUGCUGGAACUGGAACAUCCCCAAGAUGUUCUUUUGCCUCCGCAACCCUGUUGUCGUGCAUGAGAUUGGAAAGAAGAUCCAAGCCCUCAACCAGCGACUGGAGGACCUUGAGAAGAGGAGCUCCCGCUUCGGAUUCAUCACGCAGGCAAUCAACUCCUCAGAUUAUCCCGUCAACAAUGCUUCCAAUUUGUUGUCAGAGAAGACUAGUUCACUCAUUGUCCCGUCUGAUGUUGUCGGUGACAAGAUCAUGGAGGAUACAAAGGAAAUUGUUGAUCUACUAAUCAAGAAGGUGGAUACUCCUGCUAAAUCCAAGAGCAACAACGUGGUUGUUGCUGUUGCUAUCACUGGCAUGGGUGGGAUAGGCAAAACAACCCUUGCUAGGAUGGUUUUCAAUGACAAUAAAAUAGAGGAGAACUUUGAGGAUAGAAUCUGGUUGAGUGUUAACCAGGAAGUCAACGAGAUCAGUGUCCUACAAAGUGUUCUAGCUUCUUUUGGUGCCAACCAAAACCAUGAAGGCUUUGCGGGAAACAAGGACCUGCUCGAGCGUGCUUUGAUGAAGAUGGUCGAGCAAAAGAAGAAGUUUUUGUUGGUGAUGGAUGAUGUGUGGGGAGAAAAGGUGUGGAACGACCUGCUUAGAGUGCCACUCAGUUAUGGUGCUCCUGGUAGUCGUGUCUUGGUGACCACAAGAAAUGAUGAAGUUGCUCGUGGGAUUAAUGCCCAACAUCUCCAUCGAGUUGACAAGCUGCAAACAGAAGAUGCUUGGGUUUUACUAAAAAACCAGGUAGUUCUAAAUGAAAGUGAUGACGGCUAUGUCAAUGAAUUAAAGGGCAUUGGAAUAAAAAUUGUGGAAAACUGUGAUUGCUUACCGUUAGCAGUUAAGGUGCUUGGAGGAGUCUUGCGCCGCAAAAGUAAAACAAGAGACACUUGGACGGAUAUUUGUAACUACACUUGGCCGGCAGAAGGAAUAGACAGAGAUAUUGACAGAGCGGUCUAUUUAAGUUAUGAAGACUUGCCUUCACACCUGAAGCAGUGUUUUCUGUAUUGUUCACUUUUCCCUAAAGAUGAGUUGAUAAGAUUGGGAGAUAUAGUCCGGCUUUGGAUUGCACAAGGUUACAUACAAGACAAGAUAACCUCAAAGACACUAGAAGAUCUGGGGGAGGACUAUUACAAAGAAUUACUUUCAAGAAAUCUUCUAGACCCAGAUAAAAGAUCCUAUGGUCAAACAGCAUGCACCAUGCACGACGUCAUUCGUUCGUGUGCUCAGUCUAUAAUAAAAGACGAAGGAGUACUUAUUAGUGGGAGCCAGGAUGUUAGUAGGACUCUUAUUAGCACAACAAAGCUUCGUCACCUCUCUAUAUCAAACAAGACAGUAAUGAUAGACACUUUGCAAAAACAAGUUUCGCUUAGAACAUUAAUGUUAUUUGGAAGCACCAUGGUUGAGCUGAAGGAUUUAUUGAGCCACCUUUCUUGUCUAAGAGUACUAUCUCUAGAUAAUGUAAAUCUAGUUGAGUUGCCGGAUUCCAUAUGCCACCUCAAACAUUUAAGGAACUUGUGUCUUUCUGGCACAAGCAUUUCCACAAUCCCUCGAGACAUAGGGGAUCUAAAAUUUCUUGAAGAUAUUGACCUUUUUGGGUGUAGAAACGUCUCUCGGCUUCCUAAUAGCAUUCUGAAGCUACAGAAGUUAAACUCACUCAACUUAAUUGGCACGACCAUCACUUCAAUUCCUUGUGGCUUCCACAAGCUAAAAGAUUUAGUGAACUUGUGUGGUUUUCCAACAGAUUCAAAUGAUAGCACAGAUGGCUGGUGCAGCUUAGAAGAACUAGGGCCUCUGUCGAAGCUCAAACAACUUAAUAUAAAGAAUUUGGAGAAGGCACCUUCUGGUUCUAUGGCUGCUAAAGCAAUGCUUAGCAAUAAACAUCAUUUGAUAAGCUUAGAUUUGAUAUUUACCAGCAGGCUCGGAGAAAAUUGGGUGUUGAAAGACGACAUCAGCGAGGAAGAGCACGAGAGAAUAGGGGAGGUGCUGGCUAAUCUCUGCCCUCCAACUUGCAUAGAAAACCUGGAGAUCAGAGGAUACUUUGCACGUGGGCUACCACAGUGGAUGAGAGCAAUGUCAGCCUUUGGGAGUUUAAGUCGGUUCGUGCUAAAGGACUACGCAUGCUGCAUGCAACUGCCUAAUGGAUUGGGGCAGCUCCCCUUUCUUGAUCACUUUUGGAUCGAACGUGCUCCCUCCAUCCAAGGUAUUGGGCAUGAUCUCCUCCUCCCCUCCCACUCCUUGUUGGGUGAUGACGGUGAUGGGGCAUCGGUGCAGAUAGGAGAACAGAACAAAAGGAGGCAGCCACAUCAUAUUUCGCAUGGUACCGGUGCUGCCUUUCCUAAGCUUAGAAACCUUGGUUUUAUUGGCAUGUUCGAAUGGACAGAGUGGGAGUGGGAGCAGCAUGUAGUUGCAAUGCCUGUUCUAGAGUCGCUUCGUGUUCAGCACUGUAAACUACAAUGUUUUCCCAUAGGACUUGCACAUCAUGCAUCCCAAUUGAGAUAUUUGACUCUACAAAAUAUCAGCCACUUGGUCUCUAUAGAGAACUUCCCUUCACUAGUCAAACUUUGGUCAUAUAACAACCCAAGAUUAGAGAGGAUCAGCAACAACAAAAACUUGGAAUGGAUUGACAUUAGCAGCUGCCCAGCAUUGAAGGAAUUGGAUCGUUUGCCAUCUCUCCAAAGCCUCGAGUGGUGGGAUUUGCGUGCUAAAGCACUCCCACAAUACUUACAAAAGACAAAGCUAAAUAAGUUGCAUGUGGACUGCAGCCCAAGCUUGCUCAAACUGAUAGCAUUACAAGAUGACUCCUCUGAGUGGGGAAAGAUCAAGCACGUCCAGGAGCUAAAGGCAUAUGGGAGGGCGUCAACUGAAGAUGAGGUCGACCGUCAUAUAUACUACACCAAGGAGCCGUAUUCCUUCGACGUAUACUUGGGCGAGUCCACAGAUUGAGAUGAGGAGGAAGAAAAUGAGGUGAUGGAAGAAUAGAAGCGAGGAAUGACGCAGAAAUAAUUUGAAGGGUAGAGGAAGGUGGUUCAGACUUCAGACUGCUACCCCAGAGCACUCCAUUCCAUCCAACAACGUCGCUUAUCGUUAUGAGAAAACCUGUGUUUCCGUUAAGCAGGUUGCAUUGGUGCCUGAAAUCGGGUGGUGAUGGUAGGCUAGUGUUGUCAUACGCUCACACUCUCGACCGAAUGUUACAAAUAUUUAUCUCAGGAGAGGAAAGGAACGCCCGCAGAGCCCCCGCGGAUCCGGAUGCGACUUGUGGCAGGCAGGCACCGGAGCGGAGCUUCUGGCGGCGCUGCUCCGGGCUGCCGCUGAUCGCGCGCGGGCAUCAGGCAGGCUACUGGAGGCCGGAUGAGGCGCGGGCGCCCCAGUUCGUCAGAGGCAGGGCGAGCAAAGAGGGGCGGACGCCAAAGCUGCGAGAGGCGGCACCCGACUGAUGAAACGGGCGCCGAGCGAGGCAGCGGCCGCACAGAGAGAAAAAAACGAAGCCGGAAGCCCGGAACCGGAAGUUGCGAGCUGACACUCGUCCAUUGGUGUUCAAAACUGAAGAUGCCACCGUUUCGUGGUUGGAUUUUUACCAUUUUUACCACUUGUUUGCUGUCUUAUUUUGUAGCGCUUCAUGUUGUGAUGUGAUCCCCGGCCCGAAAGUACAGUAGCAUAACACAUUGCAGAGAGCACGGGAGAUCUCUCCGCUCUUCAGAACGCGUUACGCUGAUUUUUUGAGCAGAGUGUGUUAACUCGCUGUGUUGGCCAAGAAGUGAUUGUGCUUUGCCAAACACUUGCAUUGGCUCUGAUGGUUUCUGUUGGUGUAAAUAGAGAAAGACACUAAUUGCCAAAUAAGACGAAAAUACUACAUUCUCUACCCUUUGUUAAUGCAAUAGCAGAGAAAACAGAUUUUUUU